rnacentral:rRNA from 1 species
UACGGGGGGGCUAGCGUUGUUCGGAAUUACUGGGCGUAAAGCGCGUGUAGGCGGCUCGGAAAGUCGGGUGUGAAAGCCCUGGGCUUAACCCAGGAAGUGCACUCGAAACUUCCGAGCUGGAGUCCUGGAGAGGAAGGCGGAAUUCUCGGUGUAGAGGUGAAAUUCGUAGAUAUCGGGAGGAACACCAGUGGCGAAGGCGGCGAUCUGGGAAGAUACUGACGCUGAGGUGCGAAAGCGUGGGGAGCAAACAGG